UACAGAGGUCUCAAGCGUUGUUCGGAUUCAUUGGGCGUAAAGGGUGCGUAGGCGGCGCGGUAAGUCGGGUGUGAAAUCUCGGGGGCUUAACUCCGAAACUGCAUUCGAUACUGCCGUGCUUGAGGACUGGAGAGGAGACUGGAAUUCAUGGUGUAGCAGUGAAAUGCGUAGAGAUCAUGAGGAAGACCAGUGGCGAAGGCGGGGUCUCUGGACAGUUCCUGACACUGAGACACGAAGGCCAGGGGAGCAAACGGG
rnacentral:rRNA from 1 species